CGAGGAAUUUUGCGCAAUGGGCGGAAGCCUGACGCAGCAACGCCGCGUGGGUGAGGAAGGCCUUCGGGUCGUAAAGCCCUUUUCGGGGGGACGACAACGACGGUACCCCCGGAAUCAGCCACGGCUAACUACGUGCCAGCAGCCGCGGUAAUACGUAGGUGGCGAGCGUUGUCCGGAUUUAUUGGGCGUAAAGCGCGCGCAGGCGGCGCUCUAAGUCUGCUGUGAAAUCUCCCGGCUCAACUGGGAGGGGGCGGCGGAGACUGGGGUGCUGGAGGGCCCUAGAGGCCGGUGGAAUUCCCGGUGUAGUGGUGAAAUGCGUAGAGAUCGGGAGGAACACCUGUGGCGAAGGCGGCCGGCUGGGGGGACCCUGACGCUGAGGCGCGACAGCGUGGGGAGCGAACCGGAUUAGAUACCCGGGUAGUCCACGCCGUAAACGAUGGCCACUAGAGGUGGGGGGCAUCGACCCCCUCCGUCUCGGCGCUAACGCAGGAAGUGGCCCGCCUGGGGAGUACGGCCGCAAGGCUAC
rnacentral:rRNA from 1 species